rnacentral:sRNA from 1 species
GGGAAGGGUGAGAACCUUCGAUUAAGGUUCGACUCGAGCGAAAGCGAGAGAACGUUGCCAACGGCAACGGCCCGUAGGGUGAGGAGCGAAGCGACGAAUAAUCCUUCCC